ACACAAGGAUCAAUUUACAAAAUGCUUAUAGGCUUUGGUAAUUGGCAAGGAUCAAACAUACUGUAAGAAGAGAAAAUUUAACAGCCCGCAAACACUUGACUACUUCUUAUCAGUGUAAUGAAUCUGGUCUUAAUAAAAAAUUGACUGUCCAUAGUAAUGCCAAUAAAAAUUUCUACUUUUGCGAACCUGAAGAGGAGUGAGGGGCUG
rnacentral:misc_RNA from 1 species